GAAAUAGGCCUGCGUCACUUUUCUGGAACCCGCGCCGUCUGCUUUGAAGGCUCUUGUAUGGUGGCGUUAUAAAAAAAUAAAAAUAAAAAAAAAUGUCUAGUUUACCUGGAACUUCCAAACCACAAGAGUUGGAGGCCAGUGUUAUUGCUGCUGCACAAGGCCUCAUAAACGUGCUAACACAAAACAUUCAGCAGCAUCACACCCCAGCACAGCAGAAUCCAUAGCAUGAGCACCAGAGUCGACAGCAAGCACAAACAACAAAACAAACUGUGCAGGAGGAGAUGACCAGGUCAUUUCCUGGCUUCUUUACCAAAAAGAAAGGCAAAAACCGCUUUUCACCCUUACAAACCACUCCAGGGAAGCCGAAAGUCUGUAAGAUAUUCAGUGUGUAUGUAUAUUUGGUGAAUAAGGGCUGUACCAGCACACCUUCUGCAGCUGAAGAGCUGGAGUUGAGCCAAGCAGGGUUGGGGAAGAGGUCCCUCACUUUGACGGAUGAUAUGAGCCAUGAAAUGGUAAAUAAAAUUCUCAUUGAAGAAUAUCCCAAAAUGGAGGGG